GUAAAGACCUGGCAGGAGAGACACGGUGAUCAUGGAGGUGGUUUUCCUAGGGUGAGACUCAGCCACUGAAUUCUGGGUGUGCUGACCCCUGCAAUGUUCCAAAGGUCGGGAAUUCGACAGCAUAAUUUGUGAUAGUGGGGGAAGACUUCAUUCGCCUUGA